GUUUUGAUUUUAUCAUCAAUAUAGAGAGGCUAAACAAUAACUAACCAACAUAUGGAAUGAUGAACCAAUGCUAUUUAAUCCCAAAGAUUAUAAUUUGUUAUAACACAGUAACAUAGAAAGAUACAAGGAAGCUUAUAUAUCAUUGAUAAAAGAAAGAUACAAGGAAGCUUAUGUAUCAUUGAUAAAAUAGCCCUUACUGAUUACUAUUAAGACUUUGAUGAAGAAUUGCUUCUAUUGUGUCUGGCUUUUAAUUACAUAUAAUACAGGUUCUAGAUUUUUUUUCAGCAAAACAUGAAUUAUCUUUACCUUCCGUCAAGA
rnacentral:misc_RNA from 1 species